rnacentral:rRNA from 1 species
GACGAACGCUGGCGGCGUGCUUAACACAUGCAAGUCGAACGAUGAACUUGGAGCUUGCUCUGGGGGAUUAGUGGCGAACGGGUGAGUAACACGUGAGUAACCUGCCCCGGACUCUGGGAUAACUUCGAGAAAUCGGAGCUAAUACCGGAUAGGACCUUGCACCGCAUGGUGUGGGGUGGAAAGUUUUUCGGUUUGGGAUGGACUCGCGGCCUAUCAGCUUGUUGGUGAGGUAAUGGCUCAACAAGGCGUCGACGGGUAGCCGGCCUGAGAGGGUGACCGGCCACACUGGGACUGAGACACGGCCCAGACUCCUACGGGAGGCAGCAGUGGGGAAUAUUGCACAAUGGGCGCAAGCCUGAUGCAGCAACGCCGCGUGCGGGAUGACGGCCUUCGGGUUGUAAACCGCUUUUAGUAGGGAAGAAGCCUUCGGGUGACGGUGCCUGCAGAAAAAGGACCGGCUAACUACGUGCCAGCAGCCGCAGUAACAC